ACCCUUAGUAUGUGUAAAAGUUUUGCUAUCUUGUCAAAAGCACCUGGUGUUGAGCUACUUGUUUCCUUAUUCUGUUUCCAGCAGAAACCAUUCCUUUUUCCCCAAAGGAGCCAGAAAGAUCCAGGCUCAGAGAAGAGAAAUGGUGUGGAGUUCAUGCUUCAAGGACAUAUGCGUUCACAACUGUGGCCAGAAAAUGUCAGGCUUGGCCUCCAUAGUUUUUAUUACACUGUACUCUGUAUUGAUGACUUUUCUUUCCAGUUUUUUUUUUUUAAGGAACUAAUGUAGUUCACAUUGCUACCACGCUACUUUAGCAUCUGCAGAUAGUUGGUGUAAUUGCACAUGUUCUGUGCUAGCUCAAAUAAAUCACAGCAACCCUUUCUGUCUUUGCUUUUUACUCAUAUGCUUAUUACCGCUGGUGUUAGACUUGUGCAGUUCUCUUUUUACGUUUUGCACACAUUGGGCCUCGUUCAUAAAACAGGAGCAGAAUGCGUUUCUGUGUAUAUCGUCCAUAAAACGUUUCUAUUAUGCCACACUGAGUGAAGCAGUUUGCCUCAAGCUUGGUUUUAUGAACGUUAUAUAUGUUAUAAAGUUCAUUACGUUGGUGUUUUAUGAAUGAGGCAUACCGCACUGUAUUUGCAUGUGCAUCAAAUACGAAUGUAAGUAACAUUACUAGUAUUUAUUAUAAGUAUUAAACUAAUAUGUUGUACCUGCUUACAGUAAACUCUUGAAAUGACAUUAAACUUGUUUUAUCUGUAUUUGCAUUA